rnacentral:rRNA from 1 species
GACAGAGGGUGCAAACGUUGCUCGGAAUUACUGGGCGUAAAGCGCGUGUAGGCGGGUAGAUAAGUCAGAUGUGAAAUCCCUGAGCUCAACUUAGGAACUGCAUUUGAAACUGUCUGUCUUGAGUAUUGGAGAGGAUUGCGGAAUUCCUGGUGUAGAGGUGAAAUUCGUAGAUAUCAGGAGGAACACCGGUGGCGAAGGCGGCAAUCUGGACAAUUACUGACGCUGAGACGCGAAAGCGUGGGGAGCAAACAGG